GUGCUGGGGCUCAGGGGCAGGGCCCUUGCCUAGCAUGUGUGAGGCCCUGGGUUCGAUCCUCAGCACCACA
rnacentral:tRNA from 1 species